CCUACGGGUGGCAGUAGUGAGGAAUAUUGGUCAAUGGACGAGAGUCUGAACCAGCCAAGUAGCGUGAAGGAUGACUGCCCUAUGGGUUGUAAACUUCUUUUAUAUGGGAAUAAAACAGGGAUGGCAAACCCUCUGUUAUGUACCAUAUGAAUAAGGAUGGGCUAACUCGGGGCCAGCAGCCGCGGUAAUACGGAGGAUCCGGUCGUUAUCCGGAUUUAUUGGGUGUAAAGGGAGCGUAGGUGGAUUGUUAAGUCAGUUGUGAAAGUUUGCGGCUCAACCGUAAAAUUGCAGUUGAAACUGGCAGUCUUGAGUACAGUAGAGGUGGGCGGAAUUCGUGGUGUCGCGGUGAAAUGCUUAGAUAUCACGAAGAACUCCGAUUGCGAAGGCAGCUCACUGGACUGCAACUGACACUGAUGCUCGAAAGUGUGGGUAUCAAACAGGAUUAGAUACCCGAGUAGUC
rnacentral:rRNA from 1 species